UACGUAGGGUGCGAGCGUUGUCCGGAAUCAUUGGGCGUAAAGAGCGUGUAGGCGGCUUGGUAGGUCACGUGUUAAAGCCUGCGGCUCAACCGCAGAAUCGCACGUGAAACCACCUGGCUAGAGUCCGGAAGAGGAGAGCGGAAUUCCUGGUGUAGCGGUGAAAUGCGCAGAUAUCAGGAAGAACACCCGCGGCUAAGGCGGUUCUCUAGUACGGUACUGACGCUGAGACGCGAAAGCGUGGGGAGCGAACAGG
rnacentral:rRNA from 1 species